rnacentral:rRNA from 1 species
CUUUUGACCUCGGAUCAGGUAGGGAUACCCGCUGAACUUAAGCAUAUCAAUAAGCGGAGGAAAAGAAACCAACAGGGAUUGCCCUAGUAACGGCGAGUGAAGCGGCAACAGCUCAAAUUUGAAAUCUGGCUCUUUCAGAGUCCGAGUUGUAAUUUGCAGAGGGCGCUUUGGCGUUGGCAGCGGUCCAAGUUCUUUGGAACAGGACGUCACAGAGGGUGAGAAUCCCGUACGUGGUCGCUAGCCUUCGCCGUGUAAAGCCCCUUCGACGAGUCGAGUUGUUUGGGAAUGCAGCUCUAAAUGGGAGGUAAAUUUCUUCUAAAGCUAAAUACUGGCCAGAGACCGAUAGCGCACAAGUAGAGUGAUCGAAAGAUGAAAAGCACUUUGGAAAGAGAGUCAAAUAGCACGUGAAAUUGUUGAAAGGGAAGCGCUUGCAGCCAGACUUGCCUGUAGUUGCUUAUCCGGACUUUUGUCCGGUGCACUCUUCUGCGGGCAGGCCAGCAUCAGUUUGGGCGGUUGGAUAAAGGUCUCUGUCAUGUACCUCCUUUCGGGGAGGCCUUAUAGGGGAGACGACAUGCAACCAGCCUGGACUGAGGUCCGCGCAUCUGCUAGGAUGCUGGCGUAAUGGCUGUAAGCGGCCCGUCUUGAAACACGGACCAAGGAGUCUAACAUCUAUGCGAGUGUUUGGGUGUCAAGCCCAGACGCGUAAUGAAAGUGAACGGAGGUGGGAACCUUUUAGGUGCACCAUCGACCGAUCCUGAUGUCUUCGGAAGGAUUUGAGUAAGAGCAUGGCUGUUGGGACCCGAAAGAUGGUGAACUAUGCUUGAAUAGGGUGAAGCCAGAGGAAACUCUGGUGGAGGCUCGCAGCGGUUCUGACGUGCAAAUCGAUCGUCAAAUUUGGGCAUAGGGGCGAAAGACUAAUCGAACUAUCUAGUAGCUGGUUCCUGCCGAAGUUUCCCUCAGGAUAGCAGUAACGUAUUCAGUUUUAUGAGGUAAAGCGAAUGA